rnacentral:rRNA from 1 species
GACGAACGCUGGCGGCGUGCUUAACACAUGCAAGUCGAACGAAGUGGCGAACGGGUGAGUAACGCGUAAUCAACCUGCCCUUCAGAGGGGGACAACAGUUGGAAACGACUGCUAAUACCGCAUACUGAAGGAGGGGAUUGCGGCUGAUUAGCUAGUUGGAGGGGUAACGGCCCACCAAGGCGAAGCUCAGUAGCCGGUCUGAGAGGGUGGACGGCCAAAUUGGGACGGAGACACGGCCCAGAGUCCUACGGGAGGGAGCAGUGGGGAAUCUUCCGCAAUGGGGGAAAGUCUGACGGCGCAACGCCGCGUGAGUGAUGACGGCCUUCGGGUUGUAAAGCUCUGUUAAUCGGGACGCGGUACCGGAAUAGAAAGCCACGGCUAACUACGUGCCAGCAGCCGCGGUAAUUC